ACUCCGCCCCACCCACCCAGAGCCAAGGGGAAUGGGCACUUUGACUCCAGCCUGAGGGAUGGAUGGAAGGAUUUGAAGUGGGCAGCUAGGAAAGACGAUGCUGAAAUGCUGGACAGCUCUCACGCUGACUAGGCCGGUGCCCAGGCAAUGGAGGACCCAGGAUGCCGAAUACACGAGUUGGUCACCUAGCACCUCAAAUGUGAGGCCGCAGGCCGUUGAGGCAACAACAGGAUUUCGGGUAGAACCGAGAGCCCCGGAGAAUAAAGUUGAGCUCGGCCGCUGGUUCUAUGGACUGUGGAUAUUUUGGCAGCUGCCUUUUCAGGCUCUGGAUUAUC